rnacentral:rRNA from 1 species
GACGAACGCUGGCGGCGUGCUUAACACAUGCAAGUCGAACGAAGUGGCGAACGGGUGAGUAACGCGUAAUCAACCUGCCCUUCAGAGGGGGACAACAGUUGGAAACGACUCCUAAUACCGCAUACUGAAGGAGGGGAUUGCGUCUGAUUAGCUCGUUGGAGGGGUAACGGCCCACCAAGGCGAUGAUGAGUAGCCGGGCUGGGAGGAUGAACGGCCACAUUGGGACUGAGACACGGCCCAGACCCCUACGGGAGGCAGCAGUGGGGAAUCUUCCGCAAUGGAGGAAAGUCUGACGGAGCAACGCCGCGGGAGUGAUGACGGCUUUCGGGUUGUAAAGCUCUGUUAAGCGGGACGCGGUACCGGAAGAGAAAGCAACGGCUAACUACGUGCCAGCAGCCGCGGUAAUUC